rnacentral:rRNA from 1 species
AACUAACGCUGGCGGCGUGCCUAACACAUGCAAGUCGUACGGGAAAGUCGGCUUCGGCCGAUAAGUAAAGUGGCGCACGGGUGAGUAACGCGUGGGUAAUCUGCCCCCCGGUCAGGAAUAACCCGCCGAAAGGCGGGCUAAUACCCGAUAACACUGACGCUCUGCGGAGUGUCUUUCAAAGAAGGCCUCUGUUUACAAGCUUUCACCGGAGGAUGAGCCCGCGUACCAUUAGCUAGUUGGCAGGGUAAUGGCCUACCAAGGCAACGAUGGUUAGCUGGUCGGAGAGGAAGAGCAGACACACUGGAACUGAGACCCGGUCCAGAUUCCAACGGGAGGCAGCAGUGAGGAAUCUUGCGCAAUGGGGGAAACCCUGACGCAGCAACGCCGCGUGAGUGUGGAAGGCUUUCGGGUCGUAAAGCUCUGUCGGAUGGGAAGAAAUGGUUGGAGGUUAAUACCCUUCAUCCUUGACGGUACCAUCAGAGGAAGCACCGGCUAACUCCGUGCCAGCCGCCGCGGUAACAC